rfam:Otolemur garnettii contig186182, whole genome shotgun sequence.
GCUGGAUGCGGUGGCCCGCACCAUAGUCCCAGCUACCCAGGAGCUGGAAUUUGAGUCCAGGAAUUCUGAGCUGUAGUAUGGUAUGCUGAUCGAGUGUCAGCAUCAAUAUGGUGACCUCCUGGGAGUUUGGGGCCACCAGGUUGCCUAAGGAGGGGUGAACAGGCCCAGGUUGGAAACAGAGCAGGUCAAAACUCCCAUGCUGACCAGUAGUGGGAUCGUGCCUGUGAAUAGCCACUGCACUCUAGCCUGGGCAACAGGGAGACCCU